rnacentral:rRNA from 1 species
CCUACGGGAGGCUGCAGUGAGGAAUAUUGGUCAAUGGACGAGAGUCUGAACCAGCCAAGUAGCGUGAAGGAUGACUGCCCUAUGGGUUGUAAACUUCUUUUAUAUGGGAAUAAAAUGUUCCACGUGUGGGACUUUGUAUGUACCAUAUGAAUAAGGAUCGGCUAACUCCGUGCCAGCAGCCGCGGUAAUACGGAGGAUCCGAGCGUUAUCCGGAUUUAUUGGGUUUAAAGGGAGCGUAGAUGGGUUGUUAAGUCAGUUGUGAAAGUUUGCGGCUCAACCGUAAAAUUGCAAUUGAUACUGGCAGUCUUGAGUACAGUUGAGGUAGGCGGAAUUCGUGGUGUAGCAGUGAAAUGCUUAGAUAUCACGAAGAACCCCGAUUGCGAAGGCAGCUUACUAAACUGUGACUGACAUUGAUGCUCGAAAGUGUGGGUAUCAAACAGGAUUAGAUACCCUUGUAGUC